GAGUUGGCAUUUAGAUUUAAUUAUACAGCAUUGAAUGUUUUGACAAUGUAGAUUUUUUAAAGUUUACCUAUUUUAAAUUGUACCGUUACCUAAUACUCCCAUGCAGGAUUAUAAGAGUGAGGCACGGUGACUGAGUGGUAAAGCGCUUGGCAUCUGAACUGGAGGGUCAAGGGUUUGAAUCCUGGUGAAGAUGGAUUUUUUAAUUUCAGGAUCUUUAGGGCACCUCUAGGUCCGCCCAGCUGUAAUAGGUACUCAACAUUAGUUAGGGAAAAGUAAAGGUGCUGGCCACAUGACACCUUUGUUAACUGAAACAUCAUCUGCCCUAUAGAGUACAGUUUGAAAGGGGAACUUUCAUUUUUUUUUAAGGAUUACGAGAUGGUAGUAUAGAUGCAAGUAUAUCUUAGUUACACCUGUCACUAAAUUGUUUAUGUCAAACACUAUGGCAUGAAAGAAACAAAAUCAAUUGUUUGAUGGUUGUAAAUGUUUUUUCCUUUUAUUGUUUAAUUUAAAUAAUUUGUCUGACAAUGCAGAUCUAAACAUAAUGACUAAUUUAGACAUACUCCGAUUGUAUAUAAGUUAAAAUAUAGAAAGAAAUGGAAUGUUCUAAAAGUUAAUAAACAUCUCUGAUAGAAUCAAAAUGAAUAGAAUUAUGAAAUGCAGGAAAGUAAAAAAAUGUUAAAAUGAACAUAUUUACACACAUCUGUUUUUUUUUCCAUUAAAGAAACUAAGGUAGUAUGUUUCAUCAAAUACACUUCUAGCGUAUCAAUACUACCACAGUUCAAUUAGCAGUCCAGGAUUUUACAUUAACUUAAACCUUUAAUGAAAUGCCAUAAUUUAACCAAAAAAAAACCAAACUAUACCUUUAUGAAAAUAAAACCUGAAGUACCAAGUCGUACAACAGAGUGCUAUCUAGCCCUUCAAAACUCCAGCCCAUAUUGAUAAUGUAUUUAAUAAUGAAACUAUAAAGGCUUGUUUCCAUUAAACUUGUGCUAUUGUGUGACCUGUAACCCAGAUGGUUAAAAUUUCUAGGACCCCCCCCCCCCCCCCCCCC